rnacentral:rRNA from 1 species
UACGUAGGGUCCGAGCGUUGUCCGGAAUUACUGGGCGUAAAGAGCUCGUAGGUGGUUUGUCGCGUUGUUCGUGAAAACUCACAGCUCAACUGUGGGCGUGCGGGCGAUACGGGCAGACUGGAGUACUGCAGGGGAGACUGGAAUUCCUGGUGUAGCGGUGGAAUGCGCAGAUAUCAGGGGGAACACCGGUGGCGAAGGCGGGUCACUGGGCAGUAACUGACGCUGAGGAGCGAAAGCGUGGGGAGCGAACAGG